GCCGGCGCGCCGCCGUGACGUCACGGCCGGGGUGCCCGCGGCGCCUGUCGGGAGCCUUCCCAGAAGCGCGGGCCGCCAGGGAGAGCGCGCUUCCCCGCCGGGCUUCUGCGGGCGGCCUGGGGCUGCGUGAGGACCGUGACUCGGGGCCCGCUCGCUGGGUCCUGAGUCGGUGCGGGUGCGGGGCAGAGCCCGCCCCGGGGCGAGGGCCGCCUCCCCCAAACUCCACAGGCGGACUCUCUCUUCCCCCUUUCCAUGUGGCUAAAGGAAGCCCUCCUCACAGAGAGAAAACCACACGGGAAGGCUGGGCACUUCAGAAGGAAGAACGAUACAAUGGAUAAGAUAGGAAGAAAUAUAGUAAACUGUCCCUUGCCUCCUGAGUUUUUAAAAAAUCCCAUUUGGUGAUAGAAGCAAAAAUCAUAACACAAAAGUCUUCAACGAAAUGGUAGCAAAUCGAAUCCAGCAAUAUAUAAAAUAAAUACUAUGCCAGAACCAAAGGUGAUUUAUCUAAAGUAUCUGAGGUUCAUCUGAUGUUUGAAAAUCAACCAGUGUGAUCCACCUUAUCAACAGGCUGAA